rnacentral:rRNA from 1 species
AUUGAACGCUGGCGGCAGGCCUAACACAUGCAAGUCGAACGAGUGGCGGACGGGUGAGUAAUGUCUGGGAAACUGCCUGAUGGAGGGGGAUAACUACUGGAAACGGUAGCUAAUACCGCAUACCAUCGGAUGUGCCCAGAUUGGAUUAGCUAGUAGGUGGGGAAAAGGCUCACCUAGGCGACGAUCCCUAGCUGGUCUGAGAGAAUGACCAGCAGCACGGGAAGGGAGACACGGUCCAGACUCCUACGCGGGGCAGCAGUGGAGAAGAUGGCAAAAUGGGCGCAAACCUGAUGCAGCAAUGCAGGGUGUAUGAGGAAGGCCUUCGGGUUGUAAAGUUCUUUCAGCAGGGAGGCGUUACCCGCGGAAGAAGCAACGGCUAACUCCGUGCCAGCCGCCGCGGUAAUAG